rnacentral:lncRNA from 1 species
AUGAUUGGCAGGACUUUGAAUCCCAUUAGCCUACUGGGUCAAGGUUCCAAGCAGUUGAAGGAGGGGGUUUUCCCAACUACUAUUUUCUCUGGAGGAGCAGGAGAAGGAGUAAAGUGUGUGGCUGAAAAGAUCCUGAUCAUCCACAACAACUGGCCUUUGUGGAUUUCAGCUGAGGUCUCUUAUGUGUGGAAACAAGGUUGUUCUUGCAGUGCCAUGGAAUUGCAUAUCGCAAAAGAAGAAGCUGGAUCAAAGCCAAUUUUCAAUUUAUGUAAUCUGCUUUCAAGGCAAAACCCAGAGUCAUUUAAAGCACUAUUCAGUUUCCCUAAAGCCAUCUAGUCUGUCCUUUUCUGGGUCUAUUUCAUUGUCCAUCUAGAGGGUUUGCCUCAAAUAGACAUCAGUCCUUGUGCUUUCUCCUUUACAGGACUUUUGAGAGGAGUGUUGAGUUAAUUAUAAAGCAUGACAAAUAUUAAUAAAUAAUAUUGUUAAUUAUAUUAUUAUUACCUU